GCGGAUAUGGCGUAAUUGGUAGCCGCGCCAGACUUAGGAUCUGUGCCGAAAGGCGUGGGGUUCGAGUCCCCUUAUCCGCA
rnacentral:tRNA from 1 species